rnacentral:lncRNA from 1 species
UAUAGCAGCAAGGUUUUUUUAUUGCAUAUACACAUAUACAGUAUUAAAAUGACUGCAAGUGCAAUGUUACCUGCUAUGGAUAUAAAUCAUCCAAAUCCAGACCAAACACGUUUUCCAACAGAUGAAAGUAAUGAUCCUUUCGAACUUUUCAUUUGUCCCUAUGAUCCUUAUCACAAGAUUACUUCAAAAAACUGGCGAAAUCAUCUCAUGCGAUGUGCAAAG